rfam:Triticum urartu cultivar G1812 contig1202402, whole genome shotgun sequence.
UCUAUACUCCCUCUGUCUGGAAAUACUUGUCAGUAAAAUAAAUGUAUCUAGAUGUAUCUUAGUUUUAGAUACAUCCAUUUUUAUCCAUUUUCACGAAAAGUAUUUUCAGACGGAGGGAAUAUAUG